ensembl:lncRNA
CCGGCUCCCUCCGGCCGUCGCCCACCCGCGUCUGUUCCCAUUUCUGCAACCGUGGUUCCCCCUGACUUCUCGUGUGUGUGUUCCUCUCGCGCGCCCUUUUACUUCCUCUGUUUCUUUAACUUCCCCUGUUUUCUUGAUAGUUGAGCCAGCCUUUCCUUCCUCUCCUUUAAAUGCCUCUCCCUUAAAUGGCCGUAAAGAGAAAUAGACCAACUUAAGUUGAUUUUCAUAAGGAUUAUUUUCUUGCUUUAAGGUUUUAUUUUGGGGAGGGGAGUUCAUAGAUAUAAAAUUUCCUCUAGUAAGAGUUGCCUUCCGCUUCCAUAGCUGUUCAGUGAGGGUAGGAGUCUGUGUGUGUGUGUGAAUAGUGAAGAAAAGAGUGUGUGGUGAGCUGUUUAGAAUCAGAAACAGGAGAAAAAUAAUCUAUACAUAAACAAAGAGGUGCUCUAAAUGAUGCCAAACUCAGUUCGAAAUGACAGCGGAGCUGUAGGUUCUGUAAAACUCCGGAAACACGCACUAUUCCCCCUCAGUCCCGGCGCAGGCCUCAGUGAUGCCUUUCCUCAGAGGAUUUGGGGCUUUCCUGGGAUAAACCUGUAGCUUUAGCUGUCCCAGAGGAAGUAAUCACAGGGGCUCUGUGUGAAAUAAAAUAAUGCAUCAGUGUUUCCAGACUACAAGGCCACCCUGUGGGCCUCUCAGUGUGGCAGCACCUGUUCCCAGUUCUGCCAGCGGAUGCUGUUACUCUGGCUCUACACUCGGGGAACCUAAAGCCCGAUGGAAUACUGCUCCAUUCAAGAAUUGCUUCAUAAAGUCAAUUAGAGCUUCAGAUUUACUUGGUUGAAUUUUGUUUUUAACAGGUUUUUUAGAUUCCACAGGUAAGUGACAGCACACAGUAUUUGUCUUUCUCUGACUUUCUUCGCUAGCAUCAUGCCCUCAAGUUUCACCCAACUUGUCACAAACUGCAAAAUUUCCUUCUUUCUCAUGGCUGAAUAGUAUUCCUAGAUAGAUAGAUAGGUAUUGGACAUGAAUAAGAAGAUGUGACAUAUAUGUGUCACAUCUUUAUUCAUUCAUCCAUUGAUGGACACUUAGGUUGUUUGCAUAUCUUGGCUCUUGUGAAUAAUGCUGCAGUGAACAUGGGAGUGCAGAUGUCCUCUCAGAUCCUGAUUUCAAUUCCUUUGGCGAUAUUCCCAGAAGUGGGAUUGCUGGACCAUAUGGCAGUUCUAUUUUUAAUUUUUAGGAACCUCCAUACUGUUUUCCCUGUGGCUCUAUCAAUUUGCGUUCCCACCAACAGUGCACAAGAGUACUCUUUUCUUCACACCCUUGCCAACGCUUGUUAUCUGUGGUCUUGUUUUUGGGGGGGGGAGGAGAGGGGGGAGAAGAUUAGCCCUGAGCUAACAUCUGCUGCCAAUUCUCCUCUUUUUGCUUAGGAAGACUGGCCCUGAGCUAACAUCCGUGCGCAUCUUCUUCUAUUUUAUAUGUGGGACACCUACCAUAGCACGGCUUGCCAAGCAGUGCCAUGUCCGCACCCGGGAUCCAAACUGGCGAACCCCGGGCCACCGAAGUGAAACGUGCGCACUUAACCUCUGUGCCACCAGGCUGGCCCCUUUCUUGUCUUUUUGAUGAUUACCAUUCUAACAGGUGUGAGGUGAUAACUUGUGGUUUUGAUUUGCAUUUCUCUAAAGAUCAAUGAUGUGGAGUGCCUUUUCAUGUGCCUGUUAGCCAUUUAUAUGUUGUCUUUGGGAAAAUGUCUAUUCAGGUGCGCGGCCCAUGUUUAAUCGUGUUUGGGUUUUUUUGCUGUUGAGUUAGAUGAAUUCUUUAUAUAUUUUUUAUAUUAACCCCAUAUCAGUUAUAUGAUUUGUGGAUAUUUUCUACCAUUCUGUAGGUUGCCUUUUCAUUUUGUUGGUUGUUUCCUUUGCUGUCCAGAAGCUUUUUAGUUUGAUGUAGUCCUACUUAUUGAUAUUUUUGCUUUUCUUGGCUGUGCCUUUGGUGUCAUAUCCAGGAAAUCUGUCCCAAGACCAAUGUCAAGGAGCUUUGUCCUGUGUUUUCUUCUAGGAGUUUUAUGGAUCUUAUGUUUAAGUCUUUAAUCCAUUUCAAGUUUAUUUUUGUGAGUGGGGUCCAGUUGCAUUUUUCUGAAUGUGGUUAUCUAGUUUUCCCAAUAAAAGAGAUCUUCAGAGUUUUCAACAUAACAGCCACAACAAAUGUGGUAAUUACGUGAGGUGAAGGAUGUGUUAACUACCCUUAUUGUGGUAAACAUUUCACAAUAUAUAUGUGUAUCAGAUCAUCACAGUGUGCACUUUAAACUUACACAAUGUUAUUUGUCAAUUAUGUCUCAAUAAAGCUGGGGAAAAGAAAGAAAACAAAAAAAGGAUUGUUGAUUUCAGUGACAUUUGGUAGCUGGAUAGGGAAAACAGAAAAAGUGAUACACUCCAUGAUCUUCAAUCCAAACAUUUAUGUUAGGAUAACUUAUCCCAUAAUGUCUGUGUAACGCUGUAAGUCUACCUGAAAUCUACAAUUCAGAGAAACACUAUAAUUCUAUAUUAUUUUUUCCCCCCAAAAUUCUACCUUGUAGGGUGGUGAUUCUUUAACUUUUAUAUCUUGUGCCUUACCAUGAAGUUGGGAACCUGGAUCUCACAACAGUAGAGUUGUUAGUGCUGCCUAAAUAGCUAAGAUAAAUACAGCCAGUGGUUAACACAGGUUAGCAUAAGAGAAACCAUCUUAUAGAGGGGAACUACAUUGGGACUAUAACAAGACUCCCCCUUUUCCUCGUUAGCAAUGCUCUAGUUUGCACGUAGUUUAGAGAAGUACACAUCUGCUUGCUCUGCUAUUUUUGUAGCCUUGGCUUAUACAUAGACCUCCCUGUUCCGAUAAGGCAAUCACUUUGUUCUUUCAGCUUUCCUAGGGAUGUAAUGACCUUCGGGAAAAAAAACCUCUGCUAUCUGUCCCUGGUGAAGAGAGAAAGGGAUGCUCUGUGGUCUCAAGGACUACAGCUCCAGAUGGUCAACGUCCCGAGACCUCCCCUUUUCCAGCCCAUUUGCCCUAUAAAACUGCCUCACAAUUUUGUAGUUUUAAGAUGGUUCUUUAGGACACGAGUCCACCAUCUUCUCCCUUGCUGGCAGGGUGUAAUAAAAAGGCCUUUUCUCUCCUACCACCUUGCCUCCUGACUGUUGGCCUGUCUAGUGGUGAGUAGAGGACCCUCUUUGGGGGUUACAGAAACACAAAGCUUGCUUACCCCAAAGAACUUUUUAUCUAUAGGAUUUUAUUAUUAUUCUUACCUUAUAUAGUGUUUUGAGGACAAAAAAAAAAAGCGAGAGCAUUGUUGGGAGUUUUAUUUUUGUGGCUUAAAAGUAAUGAUCGUAUUAGUCUUUAAAAUGGCAGCAAUAGUGUUGACAUUUUUACUGCUAGAACUGUAAAACAUACAGAUAUGAAUAAUCUCAUCACCAAAAAAGUUGUGCUAAUCAAGUCUUUUAUUGGGAAGCUUGAGGAUACAUUUUACUAACACCUGCAUUCAUGGGACAAAGUUUGAAAGGCAGGCUUGAAGAGCAAGAUUUGCUAACUUUAUCCUGUCCUACAACAAAGUUAGAAGCUCUCACAAUUGACAAGCAGUCUGAACAGAAGCAUUAGCAAGGCUAGUCGGUGGGCUUUAUGUGUUUCGUUGCUCUGAGGCUAUAAUAGAAAACAUCAAAUGGGACAAUAUGUAUGUUAAAAGACUGCUUCAGCUUGUGUGGAAAAACUUUUAUCCAAAGUAGUGUGAACUUCUGUUCUGCAGAUGCCUGGAGUAUUUUUGAAUAAUGAAUUUAUCCAUUUAUGUUGAUUUGUCUUUGACCUUCAUACUCUGUUACGGUUACUACUGCCGCAUAAUAAAUUGAUCCAAAUCUAGCAUCUUGAAACCACCAUUUCAUUGUCUUCACGGAUUUUGUGGGUCAGGACUUCAGACUGGGCACAGCGGGGAUGGUGGCUCUCUCCCCCUCCAGGUCUCAGGUCUCCUCCCUGGGGCUGGGCUGGCUCAGAAGCCAGGACUGCUGACAGGAGCGACUGCACUUGGCUUCUUCAUCUUCUCGGCUUCCUUACAGCUGGUGUUCUCAGGGUCAUCAGACGUUCACGGGGCAGCUCAGGACUCACGGCUUGAGUGUUCUAAUGCAUGAGGCAGAAGCUGCACUGCCUUUUUUUUUUUUUUAAAGAUUUUAUUUUUUUCCUUUUUCUCCCCAAAGCCCCCCAGUACAUAGUUGUAUAUU